UACGUAGGGUCCAAGCGUUAUCCGGAUUUAUUGGGCGUAAAGCACAUGUAGGUGGUUUUGUAAGUCUUGUUUUAAAGCUCUGAGCUCAACUCAGAAUCUGGACGAGAUACUAUAAGACUAGUGGUCAGCAGGGGCAAACGGAAUUCCCGGUGUAGGAGUGAAAUCCGUUGAUAUCGGGAGGAACACCAAUGGCGAAGGCAGUUUGCUAGGCUGAUUCAGACACUGAGAUAUGAAAGCGUGGGGAGCGAACGGG
rnacentral:rRNA from 1 species